AAACCAUUGGAGUGCACGAUGGCCCUGCUUCCCAGAGCCCUGUGGAUCCUGAGGGCAGAGUGGCAGAGCGGCUCUGAGCAGUGAGGCCUAGAGUGUGGAAAGUGCACCCAUGCUGGUGGGCAAGGCUCCAGCUGGCUGCCCGGAGGGAACUAUGUUUACACCAGCAUUCACGAGGCUAACACAGCAGCAUCAUGGGACAAGGCGGACUGCCGCAUGCAGUGCCUCAUUUGGAUGUGUCUGAUGUCUUGCAAGCUUGACCACCUACAUGCUCCCACUAAUGGACUGUGAGAGCUUUCUGAAGGUUCCAGCAGGGCAGUGCAGCUCCGCUUGACCAGUCUUUUAUAGUGUCUGCACUGGUCUGGGCCGACUUUGGGAACCUGCUAAAUGAGUAGAGGAUGGCUUUGGUGAAGUACUCAGGGUGAUUCUGACUGAUGUGACGGCCACCAACACAAGGCGGAGCUGAGUGCCAGAAGGUUGCCUGAUGUUCACUGUUCUCACUGCACCACUUCCAUGGAGCAUGGCCCACAUGUCGUAGGAAAAAGGACCACAGACCAAGAAUUCAGAAACAAGACUUUCCCGUUUGUAGGGUAUGCACUGCUGGGAAGGAGGCGGAGGGUGCCCACUAGCAGCUCCCUCACACAUUCAAAGGUCAAGGCUUUCCUUUACACCUGAGUAAAACCCAAGACCUUUCCAAGGGUUGCCUUGUAAUUCCUGGCGAAGAGGAAUCCUGUGACCCUCAGGGAAGAUGGAGCAUGAAAACACAAGCCAGAGGAGAAAGAAGAGCACCCCAGGGUCAGGAGUCCAAUUUCACAUGGGAUUUUUGGAAGAGUUACCAACCACAUGUAUUUAAAAGAGGCCACCACAUUUAUCCCACCGAAUGUUUAGGGUCACAGCAUGUCACGGUGUUUCUGCAGGGGAGCAAAGUGAAGAAAAUCCA